rnacentral:rRNA from 1 species
UACGUAGGGAGCAAGCGUUGUCCGGAAUCAUUGGGCGUAAAGCGCGCGUAGGCGGCCCGGUAAGUCCGUUGUAAAAGUCGAAGGCUCAACCUUCGAAAGCCGAUGGAUACUGCCGGGCUAGAGUUCGGAAGAGGCGAGUGGAAUUCCUGGUGUAGCGGUGAAAUGCGCAGAUAUCAGGAAGAACACCUAUGGCGAAGGCAGCUCUCUGGGACGGUACUGACGCUGAGACGCGAAAGCGUGGGGAGCGAACAGG